AACGAACGCUGGCGGCAGGCUUAACACAUGCAAGUCGAACACAUCCUUCGGGGUGAGUGGCAGACGGGUGAGUAACGCGUGGGAACGUGCCCUUCAGUUCGGGAUAACCCAGGGAAACUUGGGCUAAUACCGGAUACGUGCGAGAGCAGAAAGAUUUAUCGCUGAAGGAUCGGCCCGCGUCUGAUUAGCUAGUUGGUGGGGUAAUGGCUCACCAAGGGGACGAUCAGUAGCUGGUCUGAGAGGAUGAUCAGCCACAUUGGGACUGAGACACGGCCCAAACUCCUACGGGAGGCAGCAGUGGGGAAUAUUGGACAAUGGGCGCAAGCCUGAUCCAGCCAUGCCGCGUGAGUGAUGAAGUCCUUAGGGUUGUAAAGCUCUUUCGUCCGGGACGAUAAUGACGGUACCGGAAGAAGAAGCCCCGGCUAACUUCGUGCCAGCAGCCGCAGUAA
rnacentral:rRNA from 1 species